rnacentral:rRNA from 1 species
GACGAACGCUGGCGGCGUGCUUAGCACAUGCAAGUCGAACGGAAAGGCCCUGCUUUUGUGGGGUGCUCGAGUGGCGAACGGGUGAGUAACACGUGAGCAACCUGCCCUUGACUUUGGGAUAACUUCAGGAAACUGGGGCUAAUACCGGAUAGGAGCUCCUGCUGCAUGGUGGGGGUUGGAAAGUUUCGGCGGUUGGGGAUGGACUCGCGGCUUAUCAGCUUGUUGGUGGGGUAGUGGCUUACCAAGGCUUUGACGGGUAGCCGGCCUGAGAGGGUGACCGGCCACAUUGGGACUGAGAUACGGCCCAGACUCCUACGGGAGGCAGCAGUGGGGAAUAUUGCACAAUGGGCGGAAGCCUGAUGCAGCAACGCCGCGUGCGGGAUGACGGCCUUCGGGUUGUAAACCGCUUUCGCCUGUGACGAAGCGUGAGUGACGGUAAUGGGUAAAGAAGCACCGGCUAACUACGUG